rnacentral:rRNA from 1 species
UACGUAGGCAGCGAGCGUUGUUCGGAGUUACUGGGCGUAAAGGGUGUGUAGGCGGUUGUUUAAGUUUGGUGUGAAAUCUCCCGGCUCAACUGGGAGGGUGCGCCGAAUACUGAAUGACUUGGAGUGCGGGAGAGGAGAGUGGAAUUCCUGGUGUAGCGGUGAAAUGCGUAGAGAUCCGGAGGAACCCCAGAGGCGAAGGCGGCCCCCUGGCUCGUACCUGACGCUCAGCCACGAAAGCAUGGGGAGCGAACGGG